GAUCAUGGCUCAGGACGAACGCUGGCGGCGUGCUUAACACAUGCAAGUCGAACGGAAAGGCCCGCAUUACUUUUGUGGUGGGGGUGCUCGAGUGGCGAACGGGUGAGUAACACGUGGGUGAUCUGCCCUGCACUUCGGGAUAAGCUUGGGAAACUGGGUCUAAUACCGGAUAGGACCAUGGUUUAGCAUCUCAUGGUGGAAAAAUAUUGUUUUGGUGUAGGAUGAGCCCGCGGCCUAUCAGCUUG
rnacentral:rRNA from 1 species